rnacentral:lncRNA from 1 species
UUGCUUUCUUGCCUCUGGUAUUCUCACUUAGUGUGAUUCUCCACCAUAUUUUCUUUCCUAAAGACCCAUCAAACUUUACAAAAGAAUAGAAAAGAAAAGGAGAAAAAAGAUCAAAAAAGAAAAAGAAGAAAAAAGAAUUAAAACCAUGGUUUUCUCUUCAGUUCCAAUCUAUUUAGAUCCUCCCAACUGGCAGCAGGUAAGAUUUUCUCUUCAUCGAUUUCCAUCCACAAACAUAUAGAGUUUCUUUUCUUUUAUCUCUCUCCGAAAAAGAAAGGAAAACAAACAAGAGCAUAUAUCAUAAAGAUUAUUAUUCCUAUUCCUUCUGUAAUCUUUUUCUUGAAUAUACUACAUAUAAUUUCCUCUCUAAUGUUACUAAAUUCUUGAAUUUUUCUUAUUUUUUUUGGUCUUACAGCAGCAACCAAAUCAACAACAAGGAUUUACCAAUGAAACUCCCCAUUUUCCAUCUCUUCCUCCUCCUCCUCCUCAAGUUGGGGGUAGCGGCGGCAGCAGUGGCAGUGGCUCGAUUAGACCUGGUUCGAUGGCAGAUCGAGCCAGGUUAGCAAAGAUACCACNNN